UACGUAGGGUGCGAGCGUUGUCCGGAAUUAUUGGGCGUAAAGGGCUCGUAGGCGGUUUGUCGCGUCGGGAGUGAAAACACACAGCUUAACUGUGUGCUUGCUUCCAAUACGGGCAGACUAGAGGUAUGCAGGGGAGAACGGAAUCCCUGGUGUAGCGGUGAAAUGCGCAGAUAUCAGGAGGAACACCGGUGGCGAAGGCGGUUCUCUGGGCAUUACCUGACGCUGAGGAGCGAAAGUGUGGGGAGCGAACAGG
rnacentral:rRNA from 1 species